UAGAUCAGUGAUGACUACUGGUGGCGUAUGAGUCAUAUACGAUGAAUACGUGUCUGGAAUUCUGAGGUCCAA
ensembl:snoRNA SNORD114-18 small nucleolar RNA, C/D box 114-18